rnacentral:rRNA from 1 species
AUUGAACGCUGGCGGCAUGCCUUACACAUGCAAGUCGAACGGCAGCACGGGAGCAAUCCUGGUGGCGAGUGGCGAACGGGUGAGUAAUAUGUCGGAACGUGCCCAGUAGUGGGGGAUAGCCCGGCGAAAGCCGGAUUAAUACCGCAUACGACCUGAGGGUGAAAGCGGGGGAUCGCAAGACCUCGCGCUAUUGGAGCGGCCGAUAUCAGAUUAGCUUGUUGGUGGGGUAAAAGCCUACCAAGGCGACGAUCUGUAGCUGGUCUGAGAGGACGACCAGCAAGACGGGGACUGAGACACGGCCCAGACUCCGACGGGAGGCAGCAGUGGGGAAUUUUGGACAAUGGGCGCAAGCCUGAUCCAGCCAUGCCGCGUGCGGGAAGAAGGCCUUCGGGUUGUAAACCGCUUUUGUCAGGGAAGAAACGGCUCUUGAUAAUACCGAGAGCUAAUGACGGUACCUGAAGAAUAAGCACCGGCUAACUACGUGCCAGCCGCCGCCGUAA